AAGCAAGAUAGGACCCCCAGCCAUGGGGGCACACUUGGGACACCUGGGCUCAGGCCCAGCCCUAUUGCCAAAUCAUGAAUGUGCCCCUCUCUGAGCCUGACGAUCCCUGUAAGUUAAUUGGGGGUGGCUUCCCUUGCCCAGGGAGAGACAAUCAGUAUGACAGUAUCUAUGACCUGCAAAAAUGAGCAAUUUAGCAUGUCAGUCAUUUAUACUUCAUUAAUCCCAUAGCAACCCUCCAAGAGGGCCCUUUUAUGAUCCCCAUUUUACAAUGGGGAAAUUGAGGCACGGGGGGUUAAUUUGCUCAGUCUGUUUGCUCACAGACUCAGCAGAUGGCCAAGGUGGUACUUAGGCCAAGGCAGUCUGGCCCCAAUGCCCAUGCUGGGAAUUGCUGGGGAUCACAGUCCUCUGUGCCUCUCUCACCACAAAACUGGAACCUCACAAACUCCCUGCCACUAGGCAGGGCCUCCCCAGCCCCUACUGGCCUGCCCCACCUCCAUCUAUAAGCACGGCACAUUUGGACUGGGCCAUCACGUUCCCCUCAGAACAGCCCUGACAAAUGUACCAGUGCAUGUGAGUACAUAUAUGCAUGUGCACGCAUAUGUGUGCACCUGUGUGCACGUGUGGGUGGGUGUUUACUACCAAGAAGCAACAGACAGCCGUGAGCCUCACUCACCCCACCUAGGGGGUGGGAAGCCCAGGGGUGGGGCAGAUGUUUGCUGUGAGCAUUACUCAAGAGAGAGAAGCUGAUAUUUCAGCCACAUCAAAAAGCCCUGCCCCAACAUUAAAAUCACAUUCCAUUGCCACCAGCCCCAUAAAGGGCUUCCCUGGAUGUGCCUGAUUUCCAAAGCCUAAUCUUUGGGGUCACAUCUCCACCUCUAUCUGCCAGUGUUGGUGCCCCUCUGGGGCCCAGCAGCACUAAGACAGGCAGAAGGCACGGGGCUGGAGAAGGCACGGGGAGGGAGAAGGAACCCCUAGACCCUGAUCACUACUGCCCUUCGGCUUUUCAGCCACACCGGUGAGCCCCGCCAUGUCUUACCUGAGUGAGUACACGCUGGCAGCUACCACUCCUCCCACUGCUUAGAGCCUGCCCCUGCCAUGUGUCCCUCCGCAGUGGCUACUCACUCAGCUCUCCAGGAUGGGCAGAUGGACAGUGUGCCCUGAGGAGAUUGCGGGGUGGGAGGGCAAUGGCAUUAGCAAGCGGGAAGGGGAGGGGCAUAAGCUGAACUCCUAUGGGGGUCGUCGGGCGCCUCCCAGGGCCACUUGCUUAGCUCAGCACCCUCUCCCUUUGUAUCUGCAGCCAGCUACCAGCCUCCUCAAAACCCCUACUACUACGUGGAUGGGGACCCCCACUUCAUCAUCCAAGUUCCGGAGAAAGACGAUGCCCUCUGCUUCAACAUCGAUGAAGCCCCAGGCACAGUGCUGCGCCUUAUUCAGGACCCAGUCACAGGCCUCACAGUGAACGGGCAGAUCAUCGGCGACAAGAGAGGCAGCCCCGACUCCAAGACCAAAAAGACUUACUUUGGAAAACUGGGCAUUGCCAAUGCUCAGAUGGACUUCCAGGUGGAGGUGACAACGGAGAAGGUCACCCUGUGGAACAGGGCCGUGCAGAGCACUUUCAGCUGGCUGGACACAGUCACAGUCAUGCAGGAUGGGCUGUCCAUGAUGAUCAACAGGAAGAACAUGGUGGUCUCCUUUGGAGAUGGGGUUACCUUUGUGGUCGUCCUACACCAGGUGUGGAAGAAACAUCCUGUCCACCGUGACUUUCUAGGUUUCUACGUGGUGGACAGUCACCGGAUGUCAGCACAGACGCAUGGGCUGCUGGGGCAAUUCUUCCAACCCUUUGACUUUAAAGUGUCUGACAUCCGGCCAGGCUCUGACCCCACAAAGCCAGAUGCCACACUGUUGGUGAAGAACCAUCAGCUGAUUGUCACCAGGGGCUCCCAGAAAGACUACAGAAAGGAUGCCAGCAUCGGCACGAAGGUUGUGUGCUGGUUCGUCCACAACAACGGAGAAGGGCUGAUUGAUGGUGUCCACACCGACUACAUUGUCCCCAACCUGUUUUGAGUAGACACGCUGGCUCAUGUUGGGAUGGAUGGCCCAGAUUUUGUGGCAUCUGGAACAUGGGCACAGAGAGGGGUCUGUGGGAGGGGCUGGAAAAAUAAAGUCCAAGGUCGAGACC
rnacentral:sRNA from 1 species